rnacentral:rRNA from 1 species
UACGUAGGGCGCGAGCGUUGUCCGGAAUCAUUGGGCGUAAAGAGCUCGUAGGCGGCCGGUUGCGUCUGCUGUGAAAUCCCGGGGCUUAACCCCGGGCGUGCAGUGGAUACGGGCUGGCUGGAGGCAGGCAGGGGAGAAUGGAAUUCCCGGUGUAGCGGUGAAAUGCGCAGAUAUCGGGAGGAACACCGGUGGCGAAGGCGGUUCUCUGGGCCUGUGCUGACGCUGAGGAGCGAAAGCGUGGGGAGCGAGCAGG